CUCUUCUAAGAAGCGUUUCAUCUCCUCUUCCCCAUACGCAACAUUCAUGGCAGAGCCACUGGUGAGAAGCAUGCAUAGGAAGGAGAGAAAGCGAGUGACGGAAACAUAGGGAAAGAGAAGCCAUCGAGCAAGAGAAAGGAACUCAGUGCCCUCCAUGGGGCCUGGGACACUUCCAGGUCAUCGAGGAUGCUUGAAAAGACAGAGCGUUCUUCAGCCCGGUCAAUCUGCAAAGGGCUUGUCCCAAGAAUUUGUACCCCAUUCAUGUGCAGCGGGAUGGCCAAGUUGUUGGGAAUCUGACCUCCCACUGACACGAUGCUACCUGAGCAAUCCUGUAGAAGGAGAUUAACAUUUAAAGGCUGCAGAUGCAACACCGAUUAAAAGAGAAUAGUCAUCAAGUUCAUCACCACCUGUACACAAAUGUUUAUUUUCUUCUAUUAAUGUCUUAGAAGAAGUUAGUUAGAAGUUAAAAAGAUUGAGUACUGGAUGUUGUAACGUCACUUUGAAUAAAUAUGUUUAGAAAAUUGAUUUUCUCAAAUGUACUUGUUGAAGUUGUGUUUGUGUUAAUUUCAUCAACUCACUGCUGAGUAAGAUGUCAUUUUUGUGAGACUAAGUUAGCCUCUUGACACCUAAAUUUAGUUCUAGCAAUGGAAAAAAAA